rnacentral:tRNA from 1 species
GGGCGAUUAGCUCAGGGGUAUAGAGCGCCUGUCUUACACACAGGAGGUCAAAGGUUCAAAUCCUUUAUCGCCCA